rnacentral:lncRNA from 1 species
AUGGCAACCCUGUCCUUUCCUUUUUCUUGCAGGAUUCCUGUUUGGAAUGCACAGCUCUUGUUGGAGUACUCCUGCGGCCUCCUGCCAGUGUCUGCCCUUACAACAAUGAAACAGUCAGUGGAGCCCACCCAGCCCCUUGACCAGCAGAGAUGCGAUUGCAUACCGAGAACACUGUGCUGGCAUCAGUUUGCUGAAGAGCCCUGGCUUAUGAGUUUGCAGAGGGGACAUCCAGGUUCCAGGAGGUAAGUGCAGGACUGGGAGUGGGAAGCAUGGCUGGCCCAGCCUCACUAUUGAAAUCACUCUGUGACCCUCUGUCGGUCACUUAACCUGCUGUGCUGCUAUUUGCUCAUCUGUAAAAUUGCUCUCCCUCUUGGGCUCGUUGUGAGGAUAAAAGAAAAUAAUAGGUGGCAAAGUGCACUGAAUGGUGAAAGUCUAAUACUAAAUCAAAGUAUUAUCAUUUUAGAAGUUUAUCCCUGAGUAGUGCUGACACAGACAUAUGGAAGUUAAAGCUUCAAUUAGGGGCCUGCUUCAUCUUUAAUCCGCCAAUAAUAAAGCAUUCUCCAAGCAGUGACCCA